AACGAACGCUGGCGGCAGGCUUAACACAUGCAAGUCGAGCGGGGGAAGGUAGCUUGCUACUGGACCUAGCGGCGGACGGGUGAGUAAUGCUUAGGAAUCUGCCUAUUAGUGGGGGACAACAUCUCGAAAGGGAUGCUAAUACCGCAUACGUCCUACGGGAGAAAGCAGGGGAUCUUCGGACCUUGCGCUAAUAGAUGAGCCUAAGUCGGAUUAGCUAGUUGGUGGGGUAAAGGCCUACCAAGGCGACGAUCUGUAGCGGGUCUGAGAGGAUGAUCCGCCACACUGGGACUGAGACACGGCCCAGACUCCUACGGGAGGCAGCAGUGGGGAAUAUUGGACAAUGGGGGGAACCCUGAUCCAGCCAUGCCGCGUGUGUGAAGAAGGCCUUAUGGUUGUAAAGCACUUUAAGCGAGGAGGAGGCUACUCUAGUUAAUACCUAGGGAUAGUGGGCGUUACUCGCAGAAUAAGCACCGGCUAACUCUGUGCCAGCAGCCGCCGUAA
rnacentral:rRNA from 1 species